UACCGACAACACAAUUGUACCUGAUGACCAAAAACAGACAUCAGGGACUGUGGUAUCGGUGGAGACAAGAAGAACCAGACGUAUUUCUGAUUUAUUAAAAAGUAUUGAAGAGAAACAGGCCUUGGCCCCUCAGGAUUUCAUGGGCCCAGAAGUUUGCGGUUAUCCUCCAUCAACUGUAAAGGAUAAUAGGAAAGAGGAAGAAGCUGGACCGUCCCAGGUUGCCCAACAAAAGCCACCGGAGACCCUGGAGAGGGUGGAGUCGAAAGGAUUCAAAUUCCGUCUACAAAUUGACACAGAAAUUAAUCAGAUAUUUUACAGAGAGGAAGAGUUCGUGCCUCAUGAUGAGGGGUCAUGGGAAGAAUAUGAAAGCUGUAAGUAUUGUUUUAACCCCUUGUUAAGGAAAAAUAUCAAUGCUAAGAUAGGUAUGGCAUCUCUUAGUGGCUUCUCUUUGUCAGGAAAUCAACUUGUUGUUUCUGGGAGCAAGUCUACAUGUUUUUCAUUUUUUGGUUUGUUUUUUUUUAAUAUUUUUCUAGAUCGACUUUUACAGUCAAGUUUCUGCAUGAGAUUCUGUGAGGCUGUAUGCACAAAAACGCUGGGGGUUUGUGUGCUUCGAUGUCUUGUGAUUUUGAGUGUAUGUGAUUCUACGUGAUGUUAUGGUUUAUGGAGGGACAUAGUUCAUACUCCCAUACACACUUUAAAUGAACUUUAUAGUUUAUUAUCUGAUUGGUCUCCAUGGCAUU
rnacentral:lncRNA from 1 species